rnacentral:lncRNA from 1 species
UUGAAAUAGGCACCUUACAGAUGGAAUCUUUGCUUUGAUGAGAAAUUCAAAGAAUUUGGCUUUUCAAGGAGUGAAGAUGAAUCUUGUGUCUAUAUCAAGGCUAUUGGGAGCAUAGUCAGCUUUUUGGUACUGUAUGUGGAUGACAUACUACUCAUAGGAAAUGACAUCCCAACCCUGCAGGAAGUAAAGUCCUGGCUUGGGAAGUGUUUCGCUAUGAAGGACCUUGGUGAAGCUGCCUAUAUCCUAGGGANAUGGAAUCUUUGCUUUGAUGAGAAAGUCAAAGAAUUUGGCUUUUCAAGGAGUGAAGAUGAAUCUUGUGUCUAUAUCAAGGCUAGUGGGAGCAUAGUCAGUUUUUUGGUACUGUAUGUGGAUGACAUACUACUCAUAGGAAAUGACAUCCCAACCCUGCAGGAAGUAAAGUCCUGGCUUGGGAAGUGUUUUGCUAUGAAGGACCUUGGUGAAGCUGCCUAUAUCCUAGGGAUAAGGAUUUUGAGAAACAGGAGCAAAAGACUAAUUGGACUUAGUCAAAGCACCUAUGUGGACAAAGUGUUGAAAAGAUCCAACAUGCAUAACUCCAAGAAAGGUGAGUUACCCAUUCAGAGUAACGCUA